rnacentral:rRNA from 1 species
UUGGAGGGCAAGUCUGGUGCCAGCAGCCGCGGUAAUUCCAGCUCCAAUAGCGUAUAUUAAAGUUGUUGCAGUUAAAAAGCUCGUAGUUGAAUUUCGGGGUUCUACCAUUGGUCGGGCAAUUGUCUGUACUGGCGUGUGGAAUUUCUACCUUCUGGGGAACUAUCAUGUUAUUAAUUUAGCGUGGUGGGAAACCAGGACCUUUACCUUGAAAAAAUUAGAGUGUUCAAAGCAGGCUUACGUCUGAAUACAUUAGCAUAGAAUAAUAAAAUAGGACGGUGGUCCUGUUUUGUUGGUUUCUGAAUCACCGUAAUGAUUAAUAGGGAUAGUUGGGGGCAUUAGUAUUCAAUUGUCAGAGGUGAAAUUCUUGGAUUUAUUGAAGACUAACUUCUGCGAAAGCAUUUGCCAAGGAUGUUUUCAUUAAUCAAGAACGAAAGUUAGGGGAUCGAAGACGAUCAGAUGCCGUCGUAGUCUUAACCAUAAACUAUGCCGACUAGGGAUCGGACGAUGUUAAUUUUUCUUGACUCGUUCGGCGCCUUACGGGAAAC